AAUGAAUUCUAAGAAGUGUCUUUUUCUCCCCCAGGGACCUGGAAUAGGACAUGCCUCUCUCUCCACUUUUGGUUUUGUGGGAGCUGCACUUGAAAUUAUUUUGAUUUUCUAUCUCAUGGUGUCCUCUGUCGUUGGUUUCUAUAGCCUCCGAUUUUUUGGAAACUUCACACCCAAGAAGGAUGACACAACUAUGACCAAGAUCAUUGGGAAUUGUGUGUCAAUCUUGGUCUUGAGCUCUGCUCUGCCUGUGAUGUCACGAACACUGGGUAAGUUUGAAUGAGAAAUGUCCAUUUAAAAGCCAUACCUUUUAAAGAUGUUUUUACAUAAACCUCUUUAACUUUUACUUUCUAAACUCUUUCAAAAAGAUCACCUUUAAAACGUAAUGCUUCUUCCCACAUCAUUUUAUACUUUCUAUUCUAUAUUUCCCUUAUG